rnacentral:rRNA from 1 species
UCUGGUGGCUAUAGCAAGGAGGUCACACCUGUUUCCAUGCCGAACACAGAAGUUAAGCUCCUUAGCGUCGAUGGUAGUCGAACUUACGU